GAGGGUUUUAAGCUAUCGCUGCUAACGAUUGGCUUGGAAUUAUUUUUCCGACCUUCU
rnacentral:tRNA from 1 species